UACGUAGGGGGCAAGCGUUAUCCGGAUUUAUUGGGUUUAAAGGGUGCGUAGGCGGAUCGUUAAGUCAGUGGUCAAAUUGAGGGGCUCAACCCCUUCCCGCCAUUGAAACUGGCGAUCUUGAGUGGAAGAGAAGUAUGCGGAAUGCGUGGUGUAGCGGUGAAAUGCAUAGAUAUCACGCAGAACCCCGAUUGCGAAGGCAGCAUGCCGGCUUCCUACUGACGCUGAAGCACGAAAGCGUGGGUAUCGAACAGG
rnacentral:rRNA from 1 species